rnacentral:rRNA from 1 species
UACGGAGGGUGCAAGCAUUAAUCGGAUUUACUGGGUGUAAAGAGUGCGUAGGCGGAUAGGCAAGUCAGAUGUGAAAUUCCGUUGCUUAACUUCGGAGCUGCAUUUGAUACUACCUAUCUUGAGGAUAGAUGGAGAAAACGGAAUUCCACGUGUAGCGGUGAAAUGCGUAGAUAUGUGGAAGAACACCUGUGGCGUAAGCGGUUUUCUAAUUUAUUCCUGACGCUGAGGUACGAGAGCAAGGGGAGCAAACAGG